rnacentral:rRNA from 1 species
AUUGAACGCUGGCGGCAUGCCUUACACAUGCAAGUCGAACGGCAGCACGGGUGCUUGCACCUGGUGGCGAGUGGCGAACGGGUGAGUAAUACAUCGGAACGUACCUUAUAGUGGGGGAUAACGCAGCGAAAGCUGUGCUAAUACCGCAUACGCCCUGAGGGGGAAAGCGGGGGAUCGCAAGACCUCGCGCGAUUAGAGCGGCCGAUGCCUGAUUAGCUUGUUGGUGGGGUAAAAGCCCACCAAGGCGACGAUCAGUAGCUGGUCUGAGAGGACGAUCAGCCACACUGGGACUGAGACACGGCCCAGACUCCUACGGGAGGCAGCAGUGGGGAAUUUUGGACAAUGGGGGCAACCCUGAUCCAGCAAUGCCGCGUGAGUGAAGAAGGCCUACGGGUUGUAAAGCUCUUUUGUCAGGGAAGAAACACCGGCUCUAACACAGUCCGGGAAUGACGGUACCUGAAGAAUAAGCACCGGCUAACUACGUGCCAGCAGCCGCAGUAA